UGGGGCUUGAACCUGGCAUACAAUGUAGAUUUCUGUGUUUGUUAAGCAACAGCUACAUUGUCUGCUGGGUUUCAGGCUACCUGG
rfam:Myotis davidii contig10502, whole genome shotgun sequence.